rnacentral:hammerhead_ribozyme from 1 species
GUCCAGCUGACGAGUCCCAAAUAGAACGAAAUGCGCGUAAUGGAU